rnacentral:rRNA from 1 species
UACGUAGGUGGCAAGCGUUGUCCGGAAUUAUUUGGGCGUAAAGCGCGCGCAGGCGGUCUCUUAAGUCUGAUGUGAAAGCCCACGGCUCAACCGUGGAGGGUCAUUGGAAACUGGGAAACUUGAGUGCAGAAGAGAAGAGCGGGAAUUCCACGUGUAGCGGAUGAAAUGGCGUAGAGAUGGUGGGGAACACCAGUGGCGAAGGCGGCUCUUUGGUCUGUAACUGACGCUGAGGCGCGAAAGCGUGGGGGAGCGAACAGG